rnacentral:rRNA from 1 species
AUUGAACGCUGGCGGCAGGCCUAACACAUGCAAGUCGAACGGUAACAGGAAGAAGCUUGCUUCUUUGCUGACGAGUGGCGGACGGGUGAGUAAUGUCUGGGAAACUGCCUGAUGGAGGGGGAUAACUACUGGAAACGGUAGCUAAUACCGCAUAACGUCGCAAGACCAAAGAGGGGGACCUUUCGGGCCUCUUGCCAUCGGAUGUGCCCAGAUGGGAUUAGCUAGUAGGUGGGGUAACGGCUCACCUAGGCGACGAUCCCUAGCUGGUCUGAGAGGAUGACCAGCCACACUGGAACUGAGACACGGUCCAGACUCCUACGGGAGGCAGCAGUGGGGAAUAUUGC